AGAAUGAACGCUGGCGGCGUGGUUAAGACAUGCAAGUCGAACGGGACUCCUUGAAGGGCAACUGGAUAGGAGUUCAGUGGCGAACGGGUGAGUAACGCGUGGGAACAUACCUUUUGGUUCGGAACAACACAGGGAAACUUGUGCUAAUACCGGAUAAGCCCUUACGGGGAAAGAUUUAUCGCCGAAAGAUUGGCCCGCGUCUGAUUAGCUAGUUGGUGAGGUAACGGCUCACCAAGGCGACGAUCAGUAGCUGGUCUGAGAGGAUGAUCAGCCACAUUGGGACUGAGACACGGCCCAAACUCCUACGGGAGGCAGCAGCGGGGAAUAUUGGACAAUGGGCGCAAGCCUGAUCCAGCCAUGCCGCGUGAGUGAUGAAGGCCCUAGGGUUGUAAAGCUCUUUGUGCGGGAAGAUAAUGACGGUACCGCAAGAAUAAGCCCGGCUAACUUCGUGCCAGCAGCCGC
rnacentral:rRNA from 1 species